AAACCAUGCAUCGAGCAUUUUCUAGGUAACUCCUUAAAUCGCUCUCAUACUUCAUAUAAUGUUUCACUCUCAGAUUGCCCAAAGGACGUAAUAUCAUUCCUCAAUUU
rnacentral:snoRNA from 1 species